ensembl:lncRNA
GAUGUCACAAAGCAAAUGGUCACUGUGUCUUUAAGCAAUGAGAGCAAACAGGUCUCUGCUUGUGAAACUGAGUGCAUAUUACGCUAAGCUGUCCAGUACUUGACUUGGAGCAAGGCUCCCUUUCCUGUGUACAUUCAUUUCAUUUUAUGGCCAUGUAAAAGCAACUCCGUGGCGCUGGCUGCAAUGUGAAAAUCAACAACAACACUAUAGAACAACCCACAACCGAAAGCAACCAAGAAAGAAAACAUCAGGAGAAAAAUAUGGAACCAGAUGCCUCCAUCGCCUCAGCAAGCAAUGGCCAUGUCAAAAAUCUUUGUCCUUUGAUCUCUGAUCUGAAACCACAAGAGGCAAGGCAAUCAUCAUACUCUGUGUAGAAAGUCGUAGAGGGAGCACAGGGUUAUCAGCUUGUGGAAAAGAACUGGUAACUAAUAUUCCUUCAUCAGAAGACUGGCAAAUUGCUUCUAGACACUGCACUCUCAGAAGUCAUCUCUCUUCAAAUACAUUUCUGAGGAGCUGCUGAAAAACCCAAGUGUUGGGCUAUUGGUGCCUUUGAAAAAGGCCAGUGUUGCUCUAACAGGUCCCCCGAGCUAGGUGGCACUGUGAUAGACCAGGGAACAGAAGGAAAUUGGAUCCUGAAGCAGCUCUGCCUACCAGGCUGGAAUCUUGAAGGAUCUCAGGGGCCAGAAGGACAAAAUCCAUCUAAACAAAAAGUGAAGUGGGACCACUUCCCCAGAGAAAAGAGGGUAGCUGGCUGAAAUAUCACACAUGAGGGAGGAUAAACCUCAAGAAACCCAUCACAUAAUUGACGAGAGAAGAACAAUGUGAUUCAUGAUCUUUCUCCAAGGAGGCAGCUGCAACAUAAAUGAUGUCUCAGGAAACAGGAUAAUCUGUUUGUGUGGCCACAACUCUGUGAUCCCUGACCUGUCUUAAUCUUCAGUAGUGGAUAUAUGUGUGGCACUUUUGUCCCCAGGUGGAACUGAAUGUUGAAAAAAGUCCCACAAUUCAUUUGGAUAUUUUUCUUCAAUCACUGUAGAUAGCUUAAGAACUAUCGGUGAAGGCUGUAAAUCUCUUUUUUCAUUGGGCUCAAGAAUUCAUAUCUCCUGUUUUCUAAAUGAAAUAAGGACCUUCCUGAAAUCUCAUCUCUCUUGAGGAUUUGGGAUGCUCUUGGGUAUCUGCUGCAGUAAGAAAACAAGCUGAAGGAAUGUGGAAAUGUGAAGCCAUCUGGCUGCUGGUCCACUUUCACACCGGCUCUAGGGGUCACUGAGAGCCCCCCAAGGGCUGUUGAGACCGAGCUCCGACAGGAAACAUUUGAUCUCAAUCCAGCAGUGCCCGGACAUGUGUACUCAGAUAUGUGGAUCACCUAUAAACACAGUGGUUAGAGAAUAUUUUAAUUGGGGAAUUUGAAGAAGUUGUUUGGAAACUGACUUCAGCUCCCUAGAAUUAUCAAAAUUCCAAGUCCCAAGCACUUUGACUAAAAAUCACAUUUUGUUAUAUGUCAACUUUUUUUUUCUUGAGUGUGUAUCAUUGGAAAUCAUGAGCAUUCAGUGUGGGAGAGACUUUGCUUAACAUUAGUGGCAUAACAAUGAAUGAAUGACAUGUAGUCCCUGCCUUCCAGGGUAAGUCAGCAAAUGAAUAAGCAUUGGCAAUAUGAGGUGAUGUAUAAAGACAGAUUCCAAGAGACUGGUUAAGACAGAUUCAUUCCUUUUUUUUUUUAAUUUAAUUUUAUUUAUUUAUGAUAGGCACACAGUGAGAGAGAUAGAGAGGCAGAGACAUAGGCAGAGGGAGAAGCAGGCUCCAUGUACCGGGAG